AGCUCCAUUAGCGUAUAUUAAAGUUGUUGCAGUUAAAAAGCUCGUAGUUGGAUUUCGGUGUGGGCCAGUGGGUCGGCCGCGAGGCCUGUUACUGACUGGUCCGCUCUUCCUCUCAAAGACUGCGCGUGCCUUUCGCUGGGUGUGCGUAUUUGGAUUUGGGACGUUUACUUUGAAAAAAUUAGAGUGUUCAAGGCAGGCUCGCCAGCUUGAAUACAUGAGCAUGGAAUAAUGGAAUAGGACUACGGUCCCUAUUUCGUUGGUUUGACGGACCGAAGUAAUGAUUAAGAGGGACAAUUGGGGGCAUCCGUAUUUCGUAGUCAGAGGUGAAAUUCUUGGACCUACGAAAGACGAACGACUGCGAAAGCAUUUGCCAAGAGUGUUUUCAUUAAUCAAGAACGAA
rnacentral:rRNA from 1 species